rnacentral:sRNA from 1 species
AGAAGGAGGCUCUGGCAAAGCGACUGCUGGCCCCUGAACUGUUUGGGGAAGUGCCUGCCUGGCCCCAGGAGCUGCUGUGGGCAGUGCUGCCCCUGCUCCCCCACCUCCCUCUGGAGAACUUUCUGCAGCUCAGCCCUCACCAGGUGGCAUAUGAACUUCUGGGUGUGUUGCGCUCAUCUGGAGGAGCAGUGCUGAGCCCCCGGGAGCUGCGGGUCUGGGCCCCUCUCUUCCCUCAGCUGGGCCUCCACUUCCUGCAGGAGCUGUCAGAGCCCCAGCUUAGAGCCAUGCUUCCUGUCCUGCAGGGAACUAGUGUUACACCUGCUCAGGCUGUCCUGCUGCUUGGACGGCUCCUUCCUAGGCACGAUCUAUCCCUGGAGGAACUCUGCUCCUUGCACCUUCUGCUACCAGGCCUCAGCCCCCAGACACUCCAGGCCAUCCCUAGGCGAGUCCUGGUCGGGGCUUGUUCCUGCCUGGCCCCUGAACUGUCACGCCUCUCAGCCUGCCAGACCGCAGCACUGCUGCAGACCUUUCGGGUAUGAGAGUGGCAAGGAGGAUGAGAUAAUCAGGGAUACCGGCUCUUUCUGGUUGGGAGGAGGGCAUCUUCCCUGAGGCCAGGGAAGGCCUUUCAUACCUCCCCACUUACACACACACACACACACAACCAAUUUUCAUGCAGGUUAAAGAUGGUGUUAAAAAUAUGGGUACAACAGGUGCUGGUCCAGCUGUGUGUAUCCCUGGUCAGGUAAGUGUGAGAUCUCCCAACUGAGCUCCUCUCCCCAUUCUGGGCAGUUUCAUAUGGCUGGUGCUAACUCCCACACUACCCUGCAGUGGCCCUGAGAGUUCCGGUUAGCUCUGUGCCUAUUAGCAGCCCUCCCCAGUGCCAGAUACAGGACAGCAUGAUCCACUCACAUUGUCCUAAACUAAUGUCAAAGCUGGAAGGGCCUGAGAAAUCUUCCAGGCCACCCACCCUGCUUUCAGAUGAAAAGACCAAGGCUGAGAGAAGCUAAGGGACUUUGUUCGCCUGGUGCCUAACUAGCAGCAACACUUGACCACAGCAGCCUGCAGUGUGAGGCUUUUAGGCGUUUAUUGCUACAGUGGCAAAUGCCAUUCCACUUCUGUCCUAGCUUUGGUCCCUUUCCACCCCCAUGAUUCCUUUUCUCUGAGUGCUAAGUCCAGACUCUUUCACCUAUCACUACACUGCUAUACCCAUCGCCGCCAGCAGCCUAUUCCCACCACCUGGCCAGACUGCCUGCUUCCCCUGCUCCCAUUAAAGCUGUUACAACUGGAUUCCUCGGCUCUUCUGGCAAAUCGAAGACGCUACUGGGAGCUGCCCUGGUCUGAGCAGCAGGCACAGUUUCUCUGGAAGAAGAUGCAAGUACCCACCAACCUGACCCUCAGGAAUCUGCAGGCUCUGGGCACCCUGGCAGGAGGCAUGUCCUGUGAGUUUCUGCAGCAGAUCAACUCCAUGGUAGACUUCCUUGAAGUGGUGCACAUGAUCUAUCAACUGCCCACCAGAGUUCGAGGGAGCCUGAGGGCCUGUAUCUGGGCAGAGCUACAGCGUAGGAUGGCAAUGCCAGAACCAGAAUGGACAACUCUAGGGCCAGAACUGAAUGGGCUGGAUAGCAAGCUACUCCUGGACUUACCUUGUGGGGUCCCCCCCGGGGAUUUCGUCUUGAGCAGAUCCUGCAGCUCGGUAGGCUCUUAAUAGGUCUAGGAGAUCGGGAACUACAGGAGCUGAUCCUAGUGGACUGGGGAGUGCUGAGCACCCUGGGGCAGAUAGAUGGCUGGAGCUCCACUCAGCUCCGCAUUGUGGUCUCCAGUUUCCUACGGCAGAGUGGUCGGCAUGUGAGCCACCUGGACUUCAUUCAUCUGACAGCGCUGGGUUAUACUCUCUGUGGACUGCGGCCAGAGGAGCUCCAACACAUCAGCAGUUGGGAGUUUAGCCAAGCAGCUCUCUUCCUGGGCACCCUGCAUCUCCAGUGCUCUGAGGAACAACUGGAGGUUCUGGCCCACCUCCUUGUACUGCCUGGUGGGUUUGGCCCAGUCAGUAACUGGGGGCCUGAGAUCUUCACUGAAAUUGGCACCAUAGCAGCUGGGAUCCCAGACCUGGCUCUUUCAGCACUGCUGCGGGGACAGAUCCAGGGCAUUACUCCUCUUGCCAUUUCUGUCAUCCCUCCUCCUAAAUUUGCUGUGGUGUUUAGUCCCACCCAACUAUCUAGUCUCACCAGUGCUCAGGCUGUGGCUGUCACUCCUGAGCAAAUGGCCUUUCUGAGUCCUGAGCAGCGACGAGCAGUUGCAUGGGCCCAACAUGAGGGGAAGGAGAGCCCAGAACAGCAAGGUCGAAGUACAGCCUGGGGCCUCCAGGACUGGUCACGACCUUCCUGGUCCCUGGUAUUGACUAUCAGCUUCCUUGGCCACCUGCUAUGAGCCUGUCUCUACAGUAGAAGGAGAUUGUGGGGAGAGAAAUCUUAAGUCAUAAUGAAUCAAGUGCAAACAG